CACGUAGGGCGCAAGCGUUGUCCGGAAUUAUUGGGCGUAAAGAGCUCGUAGGCGGUCUGUUGCGUCCGCUGUGAAAACCCAGGGCUUAACCCUGGGCUGGCAGUGGAUACGGACAGACUAGAGGUAGGUAGGGGAGAAUGGAAUUCCCGGUGUAGCGGUGAAAUGCGCAGAUAUCAGGAGGAACACCGGUGGCGAAGGCGGUUCUCUGGGCAUUACCUGACGCUGAGGAGCGAAAGUGUGGGGAGCGAACAGG
rnacentral:rRNA from 1 species